rnacentral:rRNA from 1 species
UCCAGAGGUCCCGAGCGUUGUUCGGAUUCAUUGGGCGUAAAGGGUGCGUAGGCGGCGGGGCAAGUCUGAUGUGAAAUCCCGGGGCUCAACCCCGGAACUGCAUUGGAUACUGCCUUGCUUGAGUACUGGAGAGGAGACUGGAAUUUACGGUGUAGCAGUGAAAUGCGUAGAUAUCGUAAGGAAGGCCAGUGGCGAAGGCGAGUCUCUGGACAGUUACUGACGCUGAGGCACGAAGGCCAGGGGAGCAAACGGG